UACAGAGGUCCCAAGCGUUGUUCGGAUUCAUUGGGCGUAAAGGGCGCGUAGGCGGCGUGCGAGGUCGGGGGUGAAAUCCCACAGCUUAACUGUGGAAGAGCCUUCGAUACCGGCGCGCUGGAGGAAGGUAGGGGUGCGCGGAACUUCUGGUGGAGCGGUGAAAUGCGUUGAUAUCAGAAGGAACGCCGGCGGCGAAAGCGGCGCACUGGACCUUUUCUGACGCUGAGGCGCGAAAGCCAGGGGAGCAAACGGG
rnacentral:rRNA from 1 species